GGGGAAAGGCUUUAUUGGGGAGAACAAAGUUUAAACCAUUUUUUAAAAAAUUGGCACUUGAGAAGGAAAGGGGGAACAGAAUUCAGGUUCGUCUUUACAAGGCGUUAGAAAGUACAACUAGAUUCCUACAUCUCUUGUUUUGUGAGUAAAAGCCGUGUUUGGGGGGCAGGGUUUCACUGCGCACUGGAUUUACACGCUACACAAGCGAGGGAGUUGGAGUCGAGGCUUUAUCUCAGUACACAAGAUGGCCAUGACCAUGGAGGUGAGAGAGCCAAGGACACCAGGAUACUGCCUGUUAUGAAGCCUGAACCAACCUGUGACUAAGGAUAAAGGUCAUUUUUGCUCACUGUGCUCAGAGCUUUAUAGAAGAGAAUUGGGGUGGAACUGGAGACUCAACUCAUCUCACAACCUCUCAAAGGAGAGCCUGAGAGGAACUGGGGGGACAUUGCCCUUGGGAACCCCAGCUCCCUUAAUUACUAACUCCGCCUCCAUCCUUGGCACUCCCCUCCAGUUCCUCCCCUUUCUCCUCCUCUCCCCUCUCCUGCAGUAUGUCACUGCUCAGAAUCUCAACUACAACACAAACACCCAUCAGCACAGACUGAUUCUGAUCUGGCGCUCCGAAUGCUGGACCUGUGGAGCCUACAAGUCAAAGGAGAGACACUGUGGUUUGGGGAGAGCCCUUUAUUAAAUUCCUUUAAAAUAAACAUUAAGGUAUUGAACUUUGCCCAGUGGUUAGGAGAGCUGGCUUUUUCACUCAUAGCAGUGAGGAGCGUUCACUAUGUCCCACGUGUUAAACGAGUGUCCUCUCGCAGAGAUGUUGUGAGUGCUCGCUAAGACAGUGCUCACCAGGUGCUUAUUACAGCAUCAAGCCCUGCUUAAAUGGGUCCUCUCAUAAAGCUCAGCGUGAGAUAAAUACGCCCCUUCAGAAAGAAGAAAAGGAACCUUUCUUACCAUCCCUGCUGUAAAAUAGAUGCCUAAUGGUUCUCUUAGAGGAGUGCAGAUACCAUCGUCAACUUUAUGACAUUUGUGGGGAGUGGGGAUGAGGGAGCGCACUUCCACCGCUUGAUCCAUUGUUGCAUGGGAAUGGUAGUGAUAAGGUAAUGUCUAAAAAACAAGUUAUUAUAAGUGAGAAAGCAGGUUGCUAAUAUUACCAGAACCUAUGUCAUGCUGAAAGUCAAUCAUUUGUUCACUAAAAGAAACCCCUAGGAAAUAAAUAAGGGGCAUUUAUCCCUCACACACAUGUGUUUUCUGGAUGUUGCUGAGGGAAAUAUGCCCUACAGAGAAACCAUUUAGAUACAGUAUGGACUUGUCCAAGGGCUGAAUAAUAGCAACUAAGCCUGAGUGGAUAAAGUCAUCUUUCUAAUUUAUCAAGACGGAGUCACAUCCCUUAUCUUUAGGGUGGACUGAGAAGUAGGUUGUCACAAUUUAUCCUGGGCCUUCACCCCAUGGAAGAAUCACACCCCCUAUGUCACCGUUCUUAGUGUGCACUUCUGCCAAGGUAGUUUCUAUAGCCUCCCACUGUGUACAGUUCAUAACUCCCUCUUGUGCUGAGAUUUGGGGGGCAGUGAUGUGUUGCUGGCUGCUGGCUCGAGGAGCGAGGGCUGUAACCCACUCAAGCUGUCACCUGAUCCAUUACCACGGUUGCACGCUGGGUCGGACACCACCAGGAUGCCUCACUGGACAAGAGCCAAGGGCCAAGAUAAUUGGAUUCCCUCUCAAAGUGCAUCAAAGCACAUCGACAAAGAGGGUCCCCACGGGCUUCUGCUUUUGCUAUAAGCAGCAGAGACGAGAGAUGCAUGUGCUGAACUCUAAUCCUCCUGCUCACCUCUCUCGCGUACAGAGCGCCACAAUCAGUCACAGACAAUGUGUCUCCUCGAAGGUUACUUAUUAUGUAGAACUCCAGUAUGCAUACAUCAGGGGAAACGUGAUGUGUUAUAAAAACUGGGCAGAGGGUGUAUCUUCACAGUGAAUGGAAAAAAGAAAGGAUUUUAUUUUGCUGUUCAAUCUCUGGAAAGGUUAUACAUCAUUAGAGAUACAAUCCAAACAAAAACCAAUUUCAAAACGAAAAUAAUUUUCUAUCAUAGUGGGAAAAGCUACUAAGGAUGACUAAAUCCAACUUCAUAAAUCUCUUUUCUUCUCCAUUGUCUCUCUGUGUCUCUCUGUCACUGUCUCUCUGUGUCUCUGUGUCUCUCUGUCUCUGUCUCUCUUUCUCUCUCUCACACAGAGAGAGAGAGCGAGAGAGAGAUAGAAAGAGAGAGAGACAAAGAGAUUUUUUUGUUUUUCAAAUAUCUCUUCUCUCCUUUCUCUUAGCUUUGUUAUAUUUUACAUUUUUCCACGCAGUAGGAGAAUGACGUGAACAGCUGACACUUUUGGUAGCCUUUUCUCUCCCUCUUUCUAAGGGCGAGUUUCUGACCCCAUUAAUCUCAGAAAUAGAAUGCAACAUUUUCUGUCCCUGGUUUCGUCUGCCUGCUACUAGACCAGUUUCUGUGUCCUAGAUUUAAUAUGCUGAUUAGCCAGCCUGCCUGGGAACACCAUGGAAAGGAAAAAGAGUCUCAUGAUUCCUCUAGAGAAGAAUAGAAGGUAUGGGUAUAAAAUAGUGCCAGGAUGUAUGUGCUUUGUGGAAAUUAAAUCUUGGACUUGAGAACUUUGUGGCUUGUCACAGUGUUUGAAAGAUACCACUUGCUUUCCUUCCCAGGAUGGUUAUAAAGUCAAGCUGUUAGACCCCAGAGACCAUUGCAGACUGGUAGAAAAGUAUUUUGCCACAUUUUUUAAAAUCUAGAAGCUGCCAAGUUCUCAGCUUCUCCAAGUACCUCACAGAGUUGAUUUUAUGUGAGGAGACCGAUCUUCCAGUACUUUCACAAGUUUCUGCUUUGCCUUUUGAGGCCAAGACAGAGGGGUUGGGGAAGAAGAUGUAAAACCAAGCGCUCUUCCUCUAAAGGGGGAUGCGACUCUGAGAUUGUCAUAGAGAGAAAGGAACGCCAGACCUCCAGGCUUGCCAGACCAAUUCUGCCCUCAGCCACAUGUCUGUGGCUUCCAUUGCUAUCAAUGGGACUUGUGUGUGCAUGUGAACUGAAGACAAAAGUUGGCUGUGUAUAAAUAGCUCUGCAACCGUGCACGUCUCUUCUUGUGUGUUUGGGACAACAGAGGCAGUCUUGUGCGGCUGGAGGCUAUUUCUCCAUCUAGUAAAAUGUAGAUGGGCAGUUGCAAGAAAUCUUGUAGUAGAAUAUUUGAUGGUGAUUAUUGAGGGGACCAGGAGCAGUAUUUGGCUAAACUCCUCUCGUUUUCCAAGAGCAAAUCCAAGGCAGAUUUAAGGAGGCCUCCUAGCCCCGGCCUGCCAUUCCAUUGGCUGAACUGCCCAUUGCUGCUUGACUUGAGUGAUAUGUAGCUAGCUGGUAGGGUGGUCAUUCAAUAUGCUAAUUUUGGGGUUAACAAGUAUGUCUUAAACAAAGAGUUUAUAUUCCAGAUGGCUGCUCACCCAACAGAGCUACCUGACAUGGUGGGCCCUCUGUGAACUCUGACCCCAUCAAUCAGGUUGCAGGUCACCCUUGAUUUCACCACUGUGAAGUCCCUUUACCACUUUAAACACAUUGAUAGAUUCCACACUUAUACUUGGGCAUUUUUUAUUCUUCCCAAUAAAAAGGGUCUUGAGAUAUCAGGUGGUUAGCAAGCAGAAAUGCUUGGCAUUCGGCCACGCUCCUAGUCUUCCAGCUAACAUACUGGCAUCAAGUUCUGUCAUCUUCUUAUAGAGCCUCAGAUGAGGUAUUCCUUCAAAUCAUAGGUCAGGGUGAAGUCUUGUUAUCCACUAGAACAGGAGACUUCAAGCCAGGCAUGGUACUGUGCACAAAUAAGUGUAGUAUGAAGAGGGGAAGGCAUGAGUAUGGAGAACUUGGGACCAGCCUGAGGUGCACAGUGAGACUCUGUCAGAAAGGAAAGAAGGAAGGAAGGAAGGAAAGAAGGAAGGAAGAAAGGAAGGAAGGAAGGAAGGAAGGAAGGAGGGAGGGAGGGAGGGAGGGAGGGAGGGAGGGAGGGAGGGAGGGAGGAAUUUCUCUAAGUUACAUCUGAGAUAAUCUAGGCUAUCAAACUCUGAAAGCUGCCUAUGUUAUUAUUAAUAACAUUCUCUCCUGUGCACUUAAGUUCUGUAUCAGUUUUCUAUUAUCUCUGCAGAUGUAAUGACUUUAACAGCGUGAGUUUGUUAUCUUGCAGUUGUAGGCAUCCAAAGUUGGAUGUGGUUCCCACUGGGAUAGAAGAAAGAUGUCACAGGGAUGUGUUGCUUUCUGCAGCUCAAGGGGAGCAUCCUUUUGCUCAUCCAGGGUGAUGGCAGAAUACAGGCCCUAGCAGUUGUAAGACCAAGGACCCCAUUUCUCAUAGGCGGCAUCUAGACUCUAGAGACUGUCCACCUCUGUGGGAUCACGAUCCCUUCCUCUAAUUUUCAAAGCAGGUCAAGACUUUGCAUAUGGCCCUGAGUUACUCUUCUGCCUUCCCCUUCCACGUCUAAGAAUUUGUGUGAUUAGACUGAUCCCAAUUGAAACCUUCGAGAUAAUCUCACCACUUUAAACACAUUUAUAGAUCCCACACUUAUACUUGGGCAUUUAUUAUUCUUCCCAUUAAAAAGACCUUGAAGUUAUCAGGUGCUUAGCAGGCAGCUCUUACUGAGUGGCUACAAAGGCUUAUCAAGGACGUCUAAACAUGCUGCUAUGUUGAGUGAACUAGGUCUAUUUUAAGGUCAUAAAUAAAGCAGAUAAUCUGGCAUUGUGUGUGUAGGUGUGCAUGUGUGUUUAGUUUUUGAGACAGGAUGUUACUCUACAAUUCAAGCUGCCCUAGAACUUGAGAUUCUGCUUUGUCAUCUCUCAAAUGUUCAUAUUCCAGGCCAGUGUCCCCAUGCCCACCUUGUCAUAAGAUUAGUAAGACUAUGACAUUUUAUAUUAUAUUACGUUUUCUAGAUCUUUCUUCUUUAUAUGGCCAUACCAAUGAACUAUAAUGGAAUAAUAGACAAAAUGUAGUUUUCUAAUUGAAAUGAGGUCUAAACAAGACUAAAGCUACACCAAAUACCCCGUCCUACACUUACAGAAAAGCUUAUUUCAAAGAUGUUUGUAUGAACUCAUUGAUUAAUUUAAAAAAUACCUGAUCAUUUGUGCAUGUCAGGAUUUAAGGAAUACACCAGGCAAAGACUAAUUAACACUUUAUCCCAUGCUUACAGAGCACUGGGGAGCUAGAAAGCAAAAACUAAAACACACCCGAAGGAUGAGCAGGUGAGGAAAGAACAUGCGUGGGGUCAAAGAUGAUAAAGAUAUUUAUGUUAAUAAACAUCUUUUCAUAUUUAACAGAAAGCUAAUAUUAGAGCCUGGUCAACGGAGACGUCUCAGAAGGAGAAGGACUACUGCACAGAGUUGGAAGUGAAGGCCAUAAGAUUUCCUAUGUCUCCUCUUAGCCACGCCAAGCAGGUACCGAGGUUUCUUGGGAAGACUGCUUGUUUCCCACCCGCGGGGAACAGCAAACUUGCCUGAGCGCAGUGCUAGACUACACUGCACAGGCGCUGCUCCCUGGGUCUUUUCCUGUUCCUGGCAAGCUGUAGACAACUUCCCCCGGCUCGACACUGAGACAGCAGGAUGGGAAAGGAGCCUUCGGAAGCCCCAGGUGGCCGCUGUCAUCUCCAGGGUGACACACAUCAGGAGUGACAGAAUGACGCACACAGAGGCAUUCUGAAAAUUUGGUUGGGAGAUCUAUGGGAAGGAAGUUUGAAGUAACGUCCUUGGGGGCAAGAUUCUGUACACUCCUGUAGUGAUAGACUUUCCUGGGGAACAGUGAGGAGAAACAUAACAGCCACUCAAGGCUGAUGUUCAAGCCUGAAACUCAUCAAGUGUGGAGUUAGUCUGCAUGUCAGGGAUCAGGGAAGCUCUAAAGUUUAAGAGUCAAAAGGAAAAAGGAAGUGAACACUUAGAGGAUCUUAAAGGAAAGACGCUUUGCACACGAGGCCAAUCCUAAUUGUCAGCUUUCCCAAUUCACACUUUCUCCUUGAACCUUAAAUGUCUAGAAGAAUUCACAAAACUUAAAAGCAGUAGGGGGAAGGGGUGUGGGAAGAUAUUAAGGCUGCAUCUCUGAGCUGUAGAAAAGGCUUUUCCCAUGCCUUUGUCCUUCAGUGGUUUUCACCCUAUUUCUCAAGACCAGAAGAGGAAGGCAACAUCCCCAGUAGAUGUACUCACAUUGUAAUGCGGUCACUGCUGGAUUGUGAGUGGAAUGGUGUGAGUUGCCUGCAGAAGAGAUCCAGGAGUGUGCAUGCCUCCAGCCAGAGCACACACUGCAGUUGUGCUCGGCUGCUUUCUAGGAUCACUCCAAAGCAGUGAGUUGGAGGAGGAAAGGUGGAGAAAGGGUGGACUCCAGAGAUAGAGCAUGGACCAGAAACAUAGAGACCGGGGAAGAGAGAGGGAAAGAUGGGGUAAGAAGACAGGUGGAAUGAAGACAGGAUGGUUCUCAGCUGAACUGUUCAGCUCCUUGGAUCCCUAGAACAGUUUUGUACAAUGAUGAAAAUCAUACGGAGUUUGGACCCUGGGAAAUGAAAUGGCCAACAAUGGGGUGGUUCUCAGCACUGUAAGCAGAGGAAUUUUUGGGCAACAGCACUGUGUUAAAGUAUUCAGGGUGGUUUAUCAUGGAAGUAUGGUGCCACGGAAGUGAGAGAUCGGCAUGUUAGGCCAUCUGGUGAGAGGCAAUGUGUCAAUCUCCCAGAUGGUUUGUGAAAAAAGAAAGACUAGAUGCUGAAUGGAGAUCAGCAUAUGAAAAGAGCCACGGAAUCGCAAAUGUACGGAAAGCCUGUUCUUCUGGGGAGUUGUCUGAAAACUUCACAAAGUACUCACCACGCUGAUCUUACAUGAUCGGAAAGAUCCGAAUUGUCAACAUGGAACAGUUUCAAUAAUGCACACCAUACCUGCCUUCGCUUCUUUUAACCAGCAAUGGUGGUACUGGGAAGGAGACAAUAUUAUCCCUUUCACUGAUUUGUUUGAAUUCAUUCAGGUUUUACAGGAGUUUUGUGCAGGGAGAGCUAGUAGAUCAUGGAGGUCCUGACUCGGUGUUCUCAAUGGGCAUCACUGCAUUUGUGAAAUACAUCACAUGACUCAGAGACAAUCAGCUCGUGGAGACAAAUUUCAAAAUAAACACAUUUUCACUACCAUGUGGAUGGUGCUCAUUGUUGAUUCUGAGUAUCAUGUGACAGAUUUCCCACGUUCACAUAAUUCUGGGAUGGCGACACAAAGAAUGUUCAAAAGCAGAAACUCAGAGUGGUACACAUUUCUUCUUACUCAUUUUUUUAAAAAAAGACAGAAUGUAUUUUUUCCAUUUCAUGCAAAUUUCUUUAAUAGAUUUUCCAAAAAUAAUACACAUUUAUGUAUAUAUUCUCAUAGAUCUAAAUUAGGUUUUAAAUGCUUGUAAGACUAACUACUAUCAAUAUAUUUAUUAACUAAGAUUUUUGCUUCAUUUGAUUAAUCCAAUAUUUUCCCUUUUGCUUAUUCUUCUCUCAUAUAUUGCAUCCUGACUGCAGUUCCCCUUCCCUCUUCUCCCUCCCUGCUCCGGUUUUUCCCCAAACCUCCCCCCACCACUUCAUCUCCCUUCCGAAAAGAGCAGGCCUUCCAAGGACUUCAACAAAAUACAGCAUAGCAUGCUACAGUAAGACCAGGCACAUAUUCUCACAUCAAGGCUGGAUGAGGCAACCCAAUAGGAGAAAAAGGAUCCCAAAGGCAGCAAAAGAGUCAGAGACAGCCCACGCUUCUCCUGUUAGAAAUCCCACAAGAACACUGCUAUACAUAUAAUAUAUACACAGAGGACUGAGGUCAGAGCCACACAGCCUCCCUGAUCUCCGGGAGCCCACUCGAUCCUUGUCAGUUGCUUCUGCAGGCUGUGAUUUUGUGAUGUCCUCAGUCCCUCUGGCUCCUUCAAUCCUCCCUUCAUCUCUUCCACAGGAUCACAAGCUCUGCCUAAUGUUUGGCUGUGGGACUCUACAUCUGCUCCCAUCAAUUGCUGGAUGAAGUCUCUCUGGUGUCUCUGAUGAUGAUUAUGCUAGGCUCAGGUCCCGGCACAUGCUGCAGGCAUGACAAACUGUAGGUCCGAGGUUUUGUAACUGUGUUGGUGUCCCAGUCCCUCCACUUGAGGCCAUACCUGGUUAUAGGAGAUGGUCUAUUCAGGCUCAGUGUCCCUCAGCGCUAUCAGGCUUUGUGCACAUCCCCCUCAUGGACUUAUGGACUUUUCAUGGCACUAGAUCUCUACCUCACUCCUGAGAUGUCCCCUUCCCAACCGGAAAGACAGAGUAUAUUUACCUUACAUUCUGGUAAUGAUUUGUAUAGUCUCACAUACAAAUCCACCUUCCAACCUGGAUGUGUUCAUAUGAACAAUGAAGCUUAUUUUUAAAAUGUUUGCAUUUUAAUUCAUGUUCAGUGGCCACCACUUGAGGCAAAUAGUUUCUCUCUAAUCUAGCAUUUCCUUUGUUCCCCAUAGAAUACUUUUA